rnacentral:rRNA from 1 species
UACGUAGGGUGCAAGCGUUGUCCGGAAUUAUUGGGCGUAAAGAGCUCGUAGGCGGUCUGUCGCGUCGAUCGUGAAAACUUGGGGCUUAACCCUGAGCUUGCGGUCGAUACGGGCAUGACUGGAGUUCGGCAGGGGAGACUGGAAUUCCUGGUGUAGCGGUGAAAUGCGCAGAUAUCAGGAGGAACACCGGUGGCGAAGGCGGGUCUCUGGGCCGAUACUGACGCUGAGGAGCGAAAGCGUGGGGAGCAAACAGG